rnacentral:rRNA from 1 species
GAUGAACGCUGGCGGCGUGCCUAAUACAUGCAAGUCGAGCGAACAGACGAGGAGCUUGCUCCUCUGACGUUAGCGGCGGACGGGUGAGUAACACGUGGAUAACCCACCUAUAAGACUGGGAUCACUUCGGGAAACCGGAGAUAAUACCGGAUAAUAUAUUGAACCGCAUGGUUCAAUAGUGAAAGACGGUUUUGCUGUAUCUUCUAGAUGGAUCCCAGCCGCAUGAGCUAGUUGGUAAGUUAAAGGCUUUCCAAGGCGACGAUGCGUAACCGACCUGAGAGGGUGAUAGGCCACACGGGAACGUGGACACGGUCCAGGCUCCUACGGGAGGCAGCAGUAGGGAAUCGUCCGCAAUGGGCGAAAGCCUGACGGAGCAACGCCGCGUGAGUGAUGAAGGUCUUCGGAUCGUAAAACUCUGUUAUUAGGGAAAAACAAAUGUGUAAGUAACUAUGCACGGCUUGACGGUACCUAAUCAGAAAGCCACGGCUAACUACGUG